rnacentral:rRNA from 1 species
GAUGACAGAUUGAGAGCUCUUUCUUGAUUCUGUGGGUGGUGGUGCAUGGCCGUUCUUAGUUGGUGGAGCGAUUUGUCUGGUUAAUUCCGAUAACGAACGAGACUCUUACUUGCUAAAUAGCUACUCGAGCAUCUAGCUCGGAGAUAACUUCUUAAAGGGACUAGUGGCGUUUAGCCACACGAGAUUGAGCAAUAACAGGUCUGUGAUGCCCUUAGAUGUUCGGGGCCGCACGCGCGCUACACUGACCGGAUCAUCGUGUGCUUCCCUUGGCCGAAAGGCCCGGGUAAUCCCUUGAACCCCGGUCGUGCUAGGGAUAGGGAAUUGCAAUUGUUUCCCUUGAACGAGGAAUUCCCAGUAAGCGCGAGUCAUUAGCUCGCGUUGAUUACGUCCCUGCCCCUUUG